CUCAAGGUGCCGCUGCUGCUGGGCCACCUUCUGGAAGAGUUGCUGGAUUCUGCUGUUCUGAGUCUUGAGCUGAGUCUGAGGAGAGUGUGAAAACCCUGGUCUUGACGUGCCUUCUCCGUGCCUUUUCUGAGGACCAUGGGAGACGUGAUUCUCCCCAUCCCGUGGUGCCCUUCCAAGCGCCGGAAUCCCAAGAACCCCAGCCGCCCCCGCCGGUCUCAGUGGGGAAAAGGCGGGCUGCAUUCUUGACCCCCUUCCCAAGUCAAAAGCUGGGGUCCUCAGUGUCUGAGUCUGCCUGAAUCAAAGCGAGAACCUCAGAACAGAAAGAAGGGAUGCACGGGAGGAAGCUCACUUUGAGUGAGAAGCCAGCUUCCAUGCUGUGAGGACACUCAAGCAGCCCUUUGGAGAGAUCCACCCAGCAACCAACAUCAGCUUGUCAGCCACACAAGGGAGCGAUUGUAGAAGCAGAUCCUCCAGCCCCAAUCAAGCUUUCAGAUGAUGUAACCCCAGCUGGCAUCUGUUCGCAGCCUCAUGAGACUCCGAGCUCACCCAGCUAAGCCGCUCCCAAGCUCCUGACCCAUAGAAACUAUGAAAUAAUAAAUGUGAAUUGUUGUUUUAAGCUACUCGUUAUACAGCUAAUACAAUAGCUAACACUUAAAUAAUGCCCACCCUGUGUCUGGCAUUAUUUUAAGUAUUUCACACGUGUACAUUCACUUAUUAUAUCCUAUGAGGUCGGCACACUACUGUUUUUUUGUUUUGUUUUUUAAUUACGUAUAGUCGAUUUACAAUGUUGUGUUAGU